CAGCGUCUCCCAAACCCUCUUUUUCUCUUCGACAAACCCCAACCAAAGCUCUUUCUCUUCGACAAACCCCGACCAAAACUAACUCUGCCUCUAGCAAGGUUAUUCGAUCUGGGAAACAGUUUAGGGAAGAAAACCUAAUGGGUAGCCUCUAGGAUUCUUCAGAUCUUUCGGCGAUAGUGAUUGUUGCUUUCGUCGGUGGUUAUAACUUUGAAAGCAAGUGCAGAGGGUUUAGGGCUGACCAAUUUUGAAAGAAAACCUAGAGUUGAAUCGGAGAAAGAAGAUGCCAGACUUCUAGGGCUUCAAAAUAGGAGCCGGAUUAAUUAGGGUUGGGGAUCUGUGUUGAUUUUCAAGAGGCUUCAGGAUUUUGGUCGCCAUUCAGGUUGAGAUGAUUUUUUGGUAAGUUAUUUUAUUAUGAAAUUCAGCUAUGGGUAACUGGGAUUUGAAUUUUGUGGCUUCAGUAUUGGAUUCGAACAUUGGAGAUAUGGAUGUGGGUUCCAUCUCACCGAGUUCUCUCGCAUGGCCGACCCUUCCUUUGAGCCUAGCCGCCCUGGCGAGUCCGUCAUCGAGCUUGGCCGCGUUAUUGACCGCGGUCUCAGGUAAAAUCAGCUACUUUACUAUUGCUAUUGAUUUCAGCUACGCUUGAAAAUUUGAACAGUGAUGUAUUUGCAGGGUGAGUCGGGCAGUUGAUACAGAGUCGCUUUGUAUUCUUUCUGGCAACCUCUGUUUGGAACCUCUAUUUUCUGUCAAAUUGGGUGCAAUCAAUUUUGGCAUAUUGUCUAAUUGGUCAGUGAUGAGUGUUUGAUCUUAAUGAAACAAAGGUAUUUCCUGAGAGUUUAGUAGGCGACAAGAUGGUUUGUUUUUACUCUUAGAGAUGGAUUGGUACUCUUUUGCUAUUGAGUUAUUGUCCUGGAACUCAUGUUUUUUAAAUAACUGUGUGCAGAUUUUUGGUAUGGCAGAGAAGGAGAUGGAAUACAGGGUUGAGUUGUUCAACAAAUUUUCAUCAAUGUUCCAUUCUGGUACUAUGGUCUCCACUCUUGACUCAACCAACCAAGAGCAAGUUUGUUGUGGUCCCUGAGACCCUUCUCAAGUAAAUUCCAGCUGAGGAGAUACUGAUUUAGUAUGGUGGUUUCAAGAGAGAAAUUGACACCAAAUUCUUCUUCUCUGAAGAUGGUUCUGUUUUUUGAGCAACUCUCAAGGCCAUAUCAAAGCAAACCAUAGAAAUUGAU